rnacentral:rRNA from 1 species
UACGUAGGGGGCAAGCGUUGGUCCGGAAUCAUUGGGCGUAAAGAGCGUGUAGGCGGCCAGAUAAGUCCGCUGUGAAAUCUCGAGGCUCAACUUCGAGCUGUCGGUGGAAACUGUCUGGCUAGAGUCCGGAAGAGGAGAAUGGAAUUCCUGGUGUAGCGGUGAAAUGCGCAGAUAUCAGGAAGAACACCCGUGGCGAAGGCGGUUCUCUGGGACGGUACUGACGCUGAGACGCGAAAGCGUGGGGAGCGAACAGG